rnacentral:ncRNA from 7 species
GCCCAGCUAGCCCACUUGGUGGAGCACAAGGCUUCUAACCUUGUGGUUGUGGGUUCAAACCCCACAGUUUGCA